GAAUUUGAAGGAAUUGUUUGCUUGUGAGUCCUUGCUAUCUGCAAUAAUCUAGAAAUAUUUAAAUUUCUGUGUUAUCUUAUUUUGCAUGUUUACAAGAAAUGGUUGUUUCAUUAUAGUACGUUUGGCAGGAUAUUCAAUGAUCCUAAAUCCUGCUCUUAGUCCAACAGAGGUAGUUUCUGUUCUGAUUGGAUGCAGUUGUUGCCAAAUGUGAUAGAUAGAUAGCGGAAUUACAUUGGUUCUUCCAUAUAACUCGGCCACCAAACGCACCUGGGGACCCAAAAACGAAAAUGUGGGACAUAUAUGUGAUUUUAUUGCGAUAAAUGGUGCAUUAGUACGUUUGUUCAAAAAGAAAACAUUGUGUAGACCAACAAAAGAAGAGAAAAGAAGAGAAAAGAAAACAGAGUAAUAUGAAUUACAAUAUUAUGGGACUUUUCGGGUGUAUACUAGAAUGGAAUGAGAAUGGAACUGGCAUUUUUCAAAAGUGGAGCUGUUUGGAGCAUCCUGGAAAAUGCAAAUGGUGGGAUGUGCUAAAUGCUCUCAUCUGCAGAAGCACCUCAAUGAGAAUGGGUCACAGUUGAUGCAUGCACCUGUUUUCAUAUUAUGGAAGAUCCAACCUGGUGAUACAUUAUCCAUGGUUCUAAUUUUUAUUUGUAUUUGAGUAACAAGAUUUGAUUGAAGAAAAAACUAAGGAUACAAGGGUUAAAGAAGAGGCAAGAAGAACCGACUACGGCCUCACAUCACUCUUUGCUUAGCAAGAGUGUUGGCAGUCUUGCAUCCCAUUGAUUGAAAAAAAAGAGGGAAAAAGAUAUUGGUUGGCUCCCCUUAGUACAUAAGAAAUUCAUAAUAAGGGAGCCAACUUCUGCAUUUUGGGUAUGGUAAAGGAUAUCCUCUGACUGCUGGGAUCCAAUGAAAUUGCCCUUGUUUCUUGAUAAAAUUUUCAUCUAACCUUCCAAAAAAAAAAAAAAAGAGAAAAAAAAGAAGAAACUGCCCUUUUAAUAGUGUUC